rnacentral:rRNA from 1 species
AUGGCAGGCGGCGUCGGCGGCCGCGGCGGCGGGCCCCGCGCCUCCUCCGACAGCAAGGCGGCGCGCGCGCCCAACCCGGCGAUCGACUCCACCAUCAAGUCCAUCAAGGAGGUCGUCGGCGGCCACUCCGAGGACGACAUCUACGACGCCCUCCGCGAGUCCAACAUGGACCCCAACGAGACGGCGCAGAGGCUCCUCAACCAAGAUCCAUUUCAUGAAGUGAAACGGAAAAGGGACAAGAAAAGAGAGAGUGUUGGUCAGAAGAACCUUGCUGAGACCACAGCACAAGGUGAGCACGGCACUCAACGGACAAAGCCACACACUCAAAGGGUUGAGAUCGAUCAAAGAAGAGCACACAAUCAUGGUCAGACAUAUGGACCAAGUCGAGAAUUUCGGGUAGUGAGGGAUAAUAGACACGGUGCGGUGGAAAAUGGAGCAGAGCAACACAAAGUUUCAACAUAUAUGCAAGCGUCUGAUAGGAGUGGAAUUUCUCUCUCUAGUGGAGUUGUAGUUCAAUCUGAUCAAAAUCGCCCUCCACCUACAACCUCGGAAGGUCAGAUCAUGCAUCAAAGUGCAAAGAGUAGCUACAACUCUGACAUGCAUCAGAUGAAGAGGGAUGCUCAGGGUACUGCUCAGAGGCAUGCAAGGCCAUAUCUGAAGAAUUCUCAGAAUGAACAUCAGUAUCCUAAUUCUGAUCUACAUCAUGCUUCAUCCAAUUACAAAGCGGCUGGAGGAUUUGUCCGAGCAAAUCGACGUGAAGCUGGAGUGGCUAAUGCUCCGAGGCAGUAUUCUGGUCGUCCAGGUUCACAGUUUCAUGGACCAAAUGAUUCUUAUCAUGCAAAUAUUCAAAGGGGGAAUUUUGCCUCAGCUGGGCCUUCUGUUCGCCGCCCGUCAUUUAUGCCUAGAAACACUCAACCCAAUCAUAGACCUGCAGUAGACACAGUAACUCGUGGCAGAUCUGUUGGUAGACCUUUUGGUAACCAAAACCACAGCAGGUAUCACCAGGGUCCUGCUAGCAACCAAAAAGUCAUACAACCAGCUAAGGAAUGGAAGCCAAAAUCGACAAAUAAGUCUUGCACCAACGACGCUGAUAACAGUGGGACAAAUGCAACAUCUCCUUUAGAUAGCAAAGCUGAAAAUGCUAAUGUGCUGGAUGUGAACAGCUCGUGUGACAAAAGUUCUCAUGCUAACGUGCAUGAGAUGGAGCAUGUGAUUAUCCCAGAGCAUCUCCGUGUGCCAGAGUAUGAGCAGACAAGAUUAAGAUUCGGCAGUUUCACUCCUGGGUUUGAUUCGCCUGAGCAUGAGCAGACAAGAAUAAGAUUCGGCAGUUUCUCUCCUGGGUUUGAUUCAGACCAAUUACCGACUUCAGCUUCUCCAGAACUGGAACAACCAGAACAUGUACAAGAACCUGUUCAACUGGUUGUCCAAGAGGAUGAGUUUGAUACUGAACAUGACGAAGUGGAUGAGCAAGUUGGAUCACAACUCACUACUAUAUCCACAUCGGCAGCAGAGAGUUCUUUACAACCAUCUGAGGAUAGUGAACAGAUGAAUGGUCAAGAAGUUGAGGAUGAUGACGGACUGGGCUUAGUUCAGAGUGAUACUCCACUUGGUGCAGCAGAUGACCAUAAUAUUCAAAGCACCUCUGGUUUGACUGCCUUUUCUGCAUAUGGUCAUGAGGAUCCUAAUAUGCAUCCCAAUAAUGAGGCACAGUUAUACGGGCUGGUUGAGCCUAAUGUGCACCAACAAGUGUUGGCUUCAUCUUCUCAGGGGUAUACUUCGGUGAAUCCAGGAGCAGAUAAUGCUGUGCAAGUAUUCAGAAUGCCAGAACCCAGUGUUCAUUCACAAGUUCUCCCUUCUGCAUCUGAGGCCCUAAGUUCACAGCUUGCGAGCAGCAGCCCUAUUGCAAUGUCUACACAACAGCAACAUAUGUCCCAGCAACAACAAGCAGCGCAGAUGUACCCUCCAAUGCACGUGCAGCAUUAUCCGAAUUUCAUGCCAUAUCGACAUCCUCUCUAUUCUCCAGUUUAUGUCCCACCCAUGGCCAUGCCAAACUAUUCAGCAAAUGUCCCUUAUCCGGCAAAUGGAAAUAAUUAUCUUCAGAUGGCCGGUGGGGGUUCACAUUUAACUGCAGGCCAAGUGAAGUAUGGAGUUUCACAAUAUAAACCAGUCCCAGCUGGUAACCCUUCUGGUUAUGGAAAUUACACUCAUCCAGCUGGUUAUACAAUUAGUUCUCCUGGUGUUAUUGGAGCUGGAGUUGGUGUUGACGAUGUCAAUAGGAUGAAGUACAAGGAUAACAACAUUUAUGCGCCAACCCCACAGGUAGAGACAUCUGAUAUCUGGAUUCAGAAUAGAGAGAUCCCAACUUUGCAGUGCCCCCCAUAUUACAACUUAUCAGGUCAAGCAACACCUGGUGCCUAUAUGCCAAAUCCUGGGAAUGCAUCUUUCAGUGCUACAGCUCAAUCCUCUCAUGCACAAUUCCCUGGCAUGUACCAUCCGCAGCAGCCUCCCUCAAUUGUAAGUCCACAUCCCAUGGUGCAUCAACAGGUCCCAUCUGCCAUUGGUCCCAAUGUUGGAGUUGGUGUAGCUGCACCAGGUCCCCAAGUGGGGGCAUAUCAACAACAGCAGCUUGGUCAUAUGAAUUGGAGACAGCCCAACUUUUAA